rnacentral:rRNA from 1 species
GACGUAGGGCGCGAGCGUUGUUCGGAUUUACUGGGCGUAAAGGGCGCGUAGGCGGUCAGCACAAGUCAGUUGUGAAAUCUCCGGGCUUAACUCGGAAAGGUCAACUGAUACUGUGCGACUAGAGUGCAGAAGGGGCAACUGGAAUUCUCGGUGUAGCGGUGAAAUGCGUAGAUAUCGAGAGGAACACCUGCGGCGAAGGCGGGUUGCUGGGCUGACACUGACGCUGAUGCGCGAAAGCCAGGGGAGCGAACGGG